AUGGAGUAUGAACGCAUUAACCAUUAACCAACAGCUGCGCUACAGUCAACCGUGGACAACUGCAGCAUGUACUGGUUAACCGCUGUGACGCAGCUAUUAACGGCACUGGCCACUGAGCAAUCGAACGUAGAUAGUUGGACUGCGCCACUGCGUUAUGAAAGAGCUGAGUUCGGGUUUCGUCCGCGGGAGGGAGAUUGUGGCUAUUUGCGCAGCGAGGAUCACCGCAGGAUCGUCAUGCAUGGCAUCUUGGGUUGCUACCUUCCGUUGGAGGCGCAAGCGUUUCUGUAUUGGAUCAUUCUGGUUAACUAUAAUCGAAAAAAUUAGGACAGUCGAACCGCCGCUCUACAGAAGAAACGCUUCGAUUUGUUUCGUCUGCUGUUUGGUUCGUACGUAUGGCACAAGGUCCGUUAUCUGCCGUUCCUGGUGUCCAUCUACGUAUUUCCCACUUGGUUCUUUGCGGGCAAGAUGCGCAUCGGAUGGUUUAUCGGAUGGUUUUCCGCAAGAAAUCGGCUAUGGGGGCAGUCCGGUUUUUCUCCUUCUAAUGCACAAAGAAGUUGUGGCAAGCGCCAAACAAAGCGUGCGAUCAAUAAAGCAGACCUGCUGCAAAACCCAACUCGGUCAUGCCCGACGGAAAAAAACCCCGCAUCCACUUCUGAUCGGACACAACCAACUGCACUGACUCUGAGAACUUUGUGACGGCUGUGUUUGUUUGGAAAUCAGCCAUCGUAGAUUUCUUUUUCAUCGACUGUAAAGACUUUAUUCCAUGUGGACUCGUUGUUUUUUCUUUAUGGUGGUUCGAUUUCAUGUGGUUGCAUAGCUGCACAAUGCAAAUGCACAAAAGCGCAUAUGUCCUUUUAGAGAAGGUAUCAAUAACCACUGGCGAACCCUAUCUAGAAAAACCUGAUCAUUCUGAUCAUUGUGUAAUAAGCAGAAAGGUAUCAGGUAUCAUAUCACAUCAGAAAGGCAGAAAGAUGUCGUAUUAUGAGAGGUGGCGAGCACAGAAACAGUUACA